rnacentral:rRNA from 1 species
GAUGAACGCUGGCGGCGUGCCUAAUACAUGCAAGUCGAGCGAACGGACGAGAAGCUUGCUUCUCUGAUGUUAGCGGCGGACGGGUGAGUAACACGUGGAUAACCUACCUAUAAGACUGGGAUAACUUCGGGAAACCGGAGCUAAUACCGGAUAAUAUUUUGAACCGCAUGGUUCAAAAGUGAAAGACGGUCUUGCUGUCACUUAUAGAUGGAUCCGCGCUGCAUUAGCUAGUUGGUAAGGUAACGGCUUACCAAGGCAACGAUGCAUAGCCGACCUGAGAGGGUGAUCGGCCACACUGGAACUGAGACACGGUCCAGACUCCUACGGGAGGCAGCAGUAGGGAAUCUUCCGCAAUGGGCGAAAGCCUGACGGAGCAACGCCGCGUGAGUGAUGAAGGUCUUCGGAUCGUAAAACUCUGUUAUUAGGGAAGAACAUAUGUGUAAGUAACUGUGCACAUCUUGACGGUACCUAAUCAGAAAGCCACGGCUAACUACGUGCCAGCAGCCGCGGUAAUACGUAGGUGGCAAGCGUUAUCCGGAAUUAUUGGGCGUAAAGCGCGCGUAGGCGGUUUUUUAAGUCUGAUGUGAAAGCCCACGGCUCAACCGUGGAGGGUCAUUGGAAACUGGAAAACUUGAGUGCAGAAGAGGAAAGUGGAAUUCCAUGUGUAGCGGUGAAAUGCGCAGAGAUAUGGAGGAACACCAGUGGCGAAGGCGACUUUCUGGUCUGUAACUGACGCUGAUGUGCGAAAGCGUGGGGAUCAAACAGGAUUAGAUACCCUGGUAGUCCACGCCGUAAACGAUGAGUGCUAAGUGUUAGGGGGUUUCCGCCCCUUAGUGCUGCAGCUAACGCAUUAGGCACUCCGCCUGGGGAGUACGACCGCAAGGUUGAAACUCAAAGGAAUUGACGGGGACCCGCACAAGCGGUGGAGCAUGUGGUUUAAUUCGAAGCAACGCGAAGAACCUUACCAAAUCUUGACAUCCUUUGACAACUCUAGAGAUAGAGCUUUCCCCUUCGGGGGACAAAGUGACAGGUGGUGCAUGGUUGUCGUCAGCUCGUGUCGUGAGAUGUUGGGUUAAGUCCCGCAACGAGCGCAACCCUUAAGCUUAGUUGCCAUCAUUAAGUUGGGCACUCUAAGUUGACUGCCGGUGACAAACCGGAGGAAGGUGGGGAUGACGUCAAAUCACCAUGCCCCUUAUGAUUUGGGCUACACACGUGCUACAAUGGACAAUACAAAGGGCAGCGAAACCGCGAGGUCAAGCAAAUCCCAUAAAGUUGUUCUCAGUUCGGAUUGUAGUCUGCAACUCGACUACAUGAAGCUGGAAUCGCUAGUAAUCGUAGAUCAGCAUGCUACGGUGAAUACGUUCCCGGGUCU